UUUGAGAUUGACCUAAGAACAACAUGAGCUAUCAGAAGCACCAAAACCUAUUCUUAUUAGUGUAAUGUUCAGAAAAUGCUUAUUUAUUCUUUCUCUUCUUGCUGUUUAUGAUGUUAUAUAUCAAUUUUUUUCCUGUUUUAUCUCUUUCACAGUGGAAUGAAUUUAUGGUUCUGUUUCGUGAAGACAUUUAUGAAGUUUUUGUUCCUUUCCAGUAGCAGGCCCAUGACCCUCAGCUGCCAUACAUGAUAAUCAGUGCUAGAAGAAAUGCAUUUAUGGCUUUUGUUCCAUCUACACUCUAAUUUCAUUGGAAUUUUCCUACGUGAGAAAACCUUCAUCUUCAAUGGCUUUCCAAGAGAUAAUGAUGCUUCCAAAACUCAUUUCCACAAACACCUCAUGUGCAUACUGUCCAC
rnacentral:lncRNA from 1 species